rnacentral:lncRNA from 1 species
GACCGUCAGUAGGUAGGUCGGAUAGUUUGUCCUCUAGUGGCUUUCGAUGUUGCAAUAAAAAUAUUUUUUCUUAUCAUCGGCCUUCUUUAGAACCUGCUUCUUAAGUUUGGCCUCAUUCUUCUAUUUCUUCAUAGGUUUUUUCUUCUUCUUAAAAAAAGACUUUCUUUUGGAAGAAAUCUGCUCCACUACUAGAAUUAUACCCCUUGAAAUCUUGAAGGUGCCCUCUGCUGUUACCAGCAUAUUUAAUAACUCAAGCA